CCUACGGGAGGCAGCAGUGGGGAAUAUUGCACAAUGGGGGAAACCCUGAUGCAGCGACGCCGCGUGAGUGAAGAAGUAUUUCGGUAUGUAAAGCUCUAUCAGCAGGGAAGAAGAAAGACGGUACCUGACUAAGAAGCAACGGCUAACUACGUGCCAGCAGCCGCGGUAAUACGUAGGGGGCGAGCGUUAUCCGGAUUCACUGGGUGGAAAGGGAGCGUAGACGGCCAAGCAAGCCAGGGGUGAAAGCCCGGGGCCCAACCCCGGGACUGCCCUUGGAACUGCAUGGCUGGAGUGCGGGAGGGGCAGGCGGAAUUCCUGGUGUAGCUGUGAAAUGCGUAGAUAUCAGGAGGAACACCGGCGGCGAAGGCGGCCUGCUGGACCGCGACUGACGUUGAGGCUCGAAAGCGUGGGGAGCGAACAGGAUUAGAUACCCCUGUAGUC
rnacentral:rRNA from 1 species